UGAGCAAUCUGCCCUUCUCUUUGGAAUAAGCGUUGGAAACGACGUCUAAUGCCGAAUACGACCUCCUUUCGCAUGAUCGGAGGUGGAAAGCUCCGGCGGAGAAGGAUGAGCUCGCGGCCUAUUAGCUAGUUGGUGAGGUAACGGCUCACCAAGGCAACGAUGCGUAGCCGACCUGAGAGGGUGAUCGGCCACAUUGGAACUGAGACACGGCCCAGACUCCUAGGAGG
rnacentral:rRNA from 1 species